UUAUUAUAUAUAAACAAAUAUUUUUACUUUAUUUUACUUGCAGAUCAAUGGAGAGUUUUUCAGAUCCCUUAAAGGUAUUUUACGUAUUCUGGUGCCUGGACUGUGGACUGCUGAAUCAGGCUUCUUGGGUCUGGUAGCUGCAACACUUAUUAUUCGUAGCAUGUGCGACAUAUGGAUGAUACAUAAUGGUACACUUAUUGAAAGUUCAAUCAUCUCCAAGGAUUUGGGCCACUUCCUUAGACACCUGGUUGAGCUUGUUCUUGCUAUGCCAGCUGUAAGUAUUGUACAAAUCCAUUUCUACUUUUACCAGAAAGACAGUUACAUAUACCCAGAAUACAGUUCAGUUUACA